rnacentral:rRNA from 1 species
GAUGAACGCUGGCGGCGUGCCUAAUACAUGCAAGUCGAGCGAACGGACGAGAAGCUUGCUUCUCUGAUGUUAGCGGCGGACGGGUGAGUAACACGUGGAUAACCUACCUAUAAGACUGGGAUAACUUCGGGAAACCGUAGCUAAUACCGGAUAAUAUUUUGAACCGCAUGGUUCAAAAGUGAAAGACGGUCUUGCUGUCACUUAUAGAUGGAUCCGCGCUGCAUUAGCUAGUUGGUAAGGUAACGGCUUACCAAGGCAACGAUGCAUAGCCGACCUGAGAGGGUGAUCGGCCACACUGGAACUGAGACACGGUCCAGACUCCUACGGGAGGCAGCAGUAGGGAAUCUUCCGCAAUGGGCGAAAGCCUGACGGAGAAACGCCGCGUGAGUGAUGAAGGUCUUCGGAUCGUAAAACUCUGUUAUUAGGGAAGAACAUAUGUGUAAGUAACUGUGCACAUCUUGACGGUACCUAAUCAGAAAGCCACGGCUAACUACGUG